rnacentral:tRNA from 1 species
ACCAGUGUGGUGUAGUGGUUUGAGCACUGGACUAGGACUCUGGAAACCAGGGUUCAAAUCCUGGCUUGGUC